CGCUUCCUGUAACUACCAGCUGUUGAGUUAAGUAAGCUUUUGUGCGUAUAUUCUCCCUAAUCACCUUGUCUAAAGUAAGACAAUAACAUAAAAAUGGCUUUGGACAUUUAAGAGAAUUGCUCAUACCCAAACAAACCAUAUGAUGUAAAAAUCAACUGUGGAACCAAAUCAAGAUUGGAUCAAAGAGCUGAUUGACUGUAGGCCUCCACGUCUGCCACCUAAACAGCCACCGAACUUCAUCAUCCUGGCUAGAUCCCAAAGGUAAACUGUCAUAAUAUACCUAGGACCUGAGAAGUCUGUUUCAAGCAGUUGCGCAGGAUGAGCCUACUCUCCAGUGGUGCCCACCAGUCUGAUGAAACCACUGCUUGCCCAUGAGACAUUAUGUGGGUUAUAAAGAUGGUCGAAGGAAUAUUUCCACUGAGGUCUGAUCUCCAUGACCACCAAGACAGAAGCAAGCCCUGCCAACCUUCCCAGGUGGAAGGAGAAUUUGAAGACAUAUCCUGUGCGAUAUUCUAUCUGUUCCCCUGAAGUGCAUGAAAGCCAAGAAGGCCAUUGAUCCCACACAGAAGUACCAAUGGCAGGGAUGCUGAGAAUCUACCAAAUAAAUCCAUAUUUUCUUUUUAUCUCAUGGGUUCUGACUUUGUAAGCGUCAUGACCCAUAAGAUAUGGCUUCUAUGUGCAUUGAUUCAUUCAUCAAACCUUUUACUGAGUAUUUCUAGAAGAAUCCAGCUCCCACAAUUUUGAAUUCAGUUCCUUAACUGUUACAAAUCUGUAACAGCAAACCUACUCGCAUCUACAAACGUUGAAAUAACUUUAAAAUCACAAAUAAGAUACAGACUGUGCUGCAUCUUCAAGUUAAUAACUUCAAUUCUCCCUGCUGAACUCAAAAUGCAUUCUCUUUCUUUCUCAGUAAUACCUGGUCCUCUACUUUUCUUUAUUAUUGUAGUGGUCUUAAAUUCUAAUCAUUUAUUUU